rnacentral:lncRNA from 1 species
GGUUCUCAACCUUACCAGACACAGAAACCCCUUUCUAACAAGUAUUUUGUAACACCCCCUUUACCGUCCUGAGUUGAAAUUCAAAAGCAGUAUAUUAUCUAUGUUUACAUCCGUGCUUACAUAUAAUACAAAGCAAAGUACUUUCUCACACGUGAGUAUCAAGCUUGCCGAGAUGAGGACAAAAAGCCUCCGGCAUGAAUUUCCAAGCUGUCCACCAGGGGGCGGCAGACCGCUUCGACUGCUGGGAACAGCACACGCAGUGCCUCCGCGGUGCCGUCGGGCUGCAUCUCUUUCCAGUUGUAAUCGCCUCGUGUUAGACUCCUCCUCGGGCGGCGUGAUUGUGUCCCUGAGGUCACCUGAGUGUUUGUUCAAAGGGGUAAAUCCAGUCCUGAUUACUCCAUCCUGGCCAGAAGUAGGUUUGACAUUUUUUAAACUAAAAAGUUAAAAAAUAAUUGUAGUUUCUAUGUGAAGUGAAAGAAUAGAAGUGGGAGACGAAUAGUCCAGGGGGAGGGAAUGGCCAUUUGGAAUGGGCUGGUGACAGCGAAGUUGGAGAAAAGUAGAUGCCUUGGGGAUUUGUUUUGGAAAUAGGGUUUACAUGACUGGUUGGUGCAUGGGAGGAAGGAAUAAGAAUGAGGGUUGGUGUGAAGGAAAUGAAG